ACGAACCCAGACACCAUAAUCUGAGGAAGCCCAAGUAACUGCAUGUACUAGUUCCAGCUGACAGCCCCAGUUGACAGUCAGUACCAACUGCUACAGACAGAAAGUGUAGAACUGAAUGAAGGUCAUUCUGAUGUUUUGCCUCUACAUCUGGGAGGAUAACGAUCCCAUCAACUGAAGGAGGUCCAUAGAGGAAGAACAGAACCUGCAUUUGAGGAACCUAUGGGACAUUCACAAGGAGAGGUCAAGUAGACAGGAUAUAAACAUCUGGAGCUCAGUUGCCUUGACCACACCUGGUGAUUUAUUAUAGCUACUAUGGGGUGCACAGGUGCAGCUACAGAGAAGGCAAAUACUGUCCACCAAGCCCACACCAGGUAUGUGGUCUUUGGAAAAUUACAGCCUCUUUCUUCUGUUAAACAAAUCAGAGGAGUUGGUAAUAUAAAUUAUGAAUGUUACCUUUUGUUUUGGUUUAUUUUGUUGAAUGGGGUGAUCCAGUUGGCCAGUUACAACAUGGU